GAUUUCCCUUUAAUUUGUAACGACAAUUUUUGGGAGAUCAGUUAUAUUUGUACGUUUUUUUCUCGGUUGUGAAAAUUUUUCUCCCUUGGCAAACCGUUUGCAAACCUCUGGCAAGCUGCUUGCAACAUGCAUACCUUAUAUUAUUUCUUCUUUGAUCGUGAUAAUGUAUACCGAUAGACAUUGUGUUCACUACAGAAGCAAUACUCAUUUUGUGGGAAAAUGUUUUAAGAAAAUUGGGUAUCCAGAUUGGUGGGUAACCUAUAGAGUUCAAAAGGGAGCAACUAUGAAUACUUCGAUAGUGAAGACAGAAACCGGUACUUCUUAUGCAAUUGUUGACUCUCAUUCAGUGGUUAAUCCGACCCUUUUUUAGAAACUAGGAUCUCAGCAGCGGGAAGUUAAUUAGGCGAGGUACUAAUAGAGAGAGUUUAUAUUACAUCGAUGACGUUUGUGAAGAGCGAUCUCUGUCAGUUACUUAAAAGGUCUUCUUGUGCAUAUAAAAAUCAAAUCUUAUUGUGGCAUUGUAGGUUAGGACAUGCUUCUUUUGGAUAUUUGAAGCACUUGUUUCCGGAUUUAUAUAAGUUUUGCAACCUCUCAGACUUUAAAUGUGAUACUUGCAUUCUUGCGAAGAGUCAUCGUACUACUUACCUAGAUAGUUUCAGCAGAAGAUAUAUCCCGUUUGAUUUGAUUCAUUCUGAUGUCUGGGGACCUUGUCGUAUUACUAGUACUUCUGGAUUCCGAUGGUUUGUUAUCUUCAUCGAUGAUUGUACCCGUAUGACUUGGUUAUAUUUGAUAAAGAACAAAAGUGAUGUGGCUGAUCGUUUUCAUUCAUUUCAUAAAAUGAUCCAGAUGCAAUUUUAUUUUACUAUACCUUCCCAUCUUAAACUUCCUCCACGGGUAUUUGGUCGUGUAACUUUUGUACACUUGCAGAAACAUGUACGCACCUAGAUAGAUCCAUGUGCUAUCAAAUGUGUCUUUAUUGGGUAUCAUCCGUUUCAGAAAGGUUACAGGUGUUAUCAUCCUCAAACCUAUAAAUUUUAUUUUACUAUGGAUGUCACUUUUUCUGA